CUUGGCGACCAUAGCGUUUUGGACCCACCUGAUUCCAUUCCGAACUCAGAAGUGAAACGAAAUAGCGUC
rnacentral:rRNA from 1 species